rnacentral:tRNA from 1 species
GGGGAAAUAGCCCAAUGGUAGAGGCGCGUUUAAUUUGAUUAGAAAUAUUCAGUAACAGCAAUUAUUUUUGCUUUGGGAGCACGUAUAUAUAGGUUCGAAUCCUAUUUUCCCCA